UACAGAGACGGCAAGCGUUGUUCGGAUUCAUUGGGCGUAAAGGGUGCGUAGGCGGUCGGCUAAGUCGGAUGUGAAAUCUCACAGCCUAACUGUGAUAGGUCAUUCGAAACUGGCUGGCUUGAGGACUGGAGAGGAGACUGGAAUUGUCGGUGUAGCGGUGAAAUGCGUAGAGAUCGACAAGAACACCGGUGGCGAAGGCGGGUCUCUGGACAGUUCCUGACGCUGAGGCACGAAAGCCAGGGGAGCAAAC
rnacentral:rRNA from 1 species